ACGACCGAACGCGGCGGGUGGACCGUCAUCCUGGUCAGCCGUCGUCAGGGUGAUACUCUCCGAAAGCAGCCAUCUCCCCUCCCGUGACUUUCUUCCGUGCCACUAAGGUGUCCCGAGCCCGGCCUCUCUGCCUCCCUACCCCCCGCUGCAACACGUGCCGGAGUCCGCGUAAAAAGCCUAGACGCAGAGGUCCCAACCCCGAGCUGCCACGCGCUGCGCGGGAGCCGGCACCUGGGGCUGCUCUGGGGUGGGGCGGGGAGGCCAGGGGACCACGGGGCGCAGGGGCUGCAUCUCAGAAAGUUGCCCUGGGGACACGCCCCGCCCGGAGGAACCCGCUUAGAUGGGUAACCUACUAGGGCAUCCCACGAGGAAAGAAUUGUGCUGGGCUUCCCAUAGGAAAGGGGACUAAGCCAGCUUCUGGAAGCCGCCGCUGCGCCGUGCGGCCGGGCUGGGGACCGCUUUUAAAGAGGACGAGGCCAUAGCAUUUGCUGCAGUUGAGGACCCAACCACCGACUGCUGCGGACAGAGACGAAAAACUCCGGUGCGCGCAGGAGAAUUUAGUCCGUUUGUGGGCUUGCUCCAGAGAGGUCAACGGUGCGGAGAGGUCAAUGGACAUCAUUGGAUCCCCGGAGACAGACCGGAGGACUCAGGAGCCGGAGGCCUGCACGCUCCACCCUGGCUGCGGUUGUGGACUGCGGUGAAGGCGCGAAGCGGGUGACAAGUGUGGGACUGGGAGCUCCUCCACCAUCGGGAAGCAUUUUUCCAGCAGCUAUUGGAGCUUUACCCUGUGUGGGUGGCAGGCGAAAUGGUGGGGUCCUUGCGCCUGCAUUUGACAAAGGCUGAACAGUGAGGGGUGUCACCGCUGUAGGGGACCCACGGGAGACCCACGACCCCGUGAUUGAGUUGAGGAAUCCAGGUGGGUUGAAGCAAAGGGAAAGAGGCACUGAAGGGCUGUAUCCAGCCCGCGUGAACGCGCCCUCAGGGAAACUGGGGCACCUCAGAGUCUGACCUGAGACUUCAAACAUCCAAGUUUGUGCGGGCCUGUGGCGUGCCUCUCCUGACCCACCCACUGUGGACCGCAGGACUCAGACGCCCUGCCCAGCCUUUGGCUGAGGGUAAGUGGCCCUGCAGCGCUGGCUGAUCCGAUGCUUGGCUGCUCUAGUAGGUGAGUGAGGAGCUAGGUGAAUCCCACCCUUGGCGAAGGAACUUAGAGAAGAGUGUGUUGAAGGAAGAACUGAGGGGUUUUGACAUAAAGCCUGAUUCUGGCUCACUCAGACUUGAACGGCAGUAAAUUCUGUUUUGAUCACUUCCUAUUCCGUAGGUAUCAAGUCUUUUGAGAAUGGGGAGCUUGCUUAUGCCAACACACAGUAGGCAAAACUCUGUCAGGGUUGUCAGAUGUCACGGUUUAAGAUGUCACAUGAGUGAGUGCUGUGGAAAAGUUCUCAAACAGCUGAUGCUGUCUUGCUCUCUGGUUGAGAGGGGAUAUCAGGAUAAGACGAUUGUGUAUAAUUUCUUAUCCAAACUUAAAACUUUUAAGAUUAGGCUCAGCGGUUAAGACUACUGUCCUGAGUUCAGUUCCCAGCAACCACAUGGUGGCUCACAACCAUCUAUUCUGGGAUCUGAUGCCCCCUUCUGACAUGCAGGAAUAAAUCUCUUUUUCUUUCUUUCUUUCUUUCUUUCUUUCUUUCUUUCUUUCUUUCACUUUUAAGAUUAAAAAGGGAGGCUGGUGCUACAUGUAACUUCGGAUGCCAAUGGCCGGGAACUCUGACUUACUGUCACCCCAGCCAUUGCUGCAGAUGAACUAGGCGGUUGAGAGCGGGUCGUCGUAAUAUGCAUCUCUCAAUAGACUAUGAACUCAAGAGUGCGUAUUUGUCUUUUGGCUUCUAGCACACAAUGUACGUGUUGUAUAGGACUAGCACCCGAGCCAAACAACUGCCAUCUUGGGGCAUUCAGCUGUGCCUGUUUCAAACAAUCGCCCCAGCUGUGCUUGCCGACUGUUUGCGUCCCUCCUAGAGAAGACCCUCACUGAGUACCCAGCCUCUCGCCAUCACCUUUUCUAUGCACUUGGCCUCCAGGAAGGACUAGAAUAGGCUGGGAAGACCAGGACAGAGGGGGUCCAGCCACCUAACUAUUAGAAACCCCUCCUCCCUGCUGGGUGAUGUCAGUUUUCAGCGUGGCCUCCAGGAAGGGGGCACUUACCCUCCAGCAGGUAACCCUUCUUCACCUGUGCUCGAAGGGAGCCCAAUAAACUCCCCAGCUUCCAGAGUGAACGUUGGUUGCAGGGUUGCAUGGACCUAAGAGGAGGGGUAGUUGUUGCUUAUGUGCCCCCCCCAGAAGGAACUUGAGCAACAUUGCAAUACUCAGUAAAAUAGAAUGAUCGGUAAAUGUUUACGUAUUUGAUAAAUGUAGAGUCACAUUUGAAUGGAGAUGAACCUGGGUAGUAAGGCUGUGAACAAUCACUAUUGCCAAGUGCAGGAUAUAGUACUCAGUCCUGGGGCCAGUGAAGAAUCCAAGGGGUGUAAAGCAUAGAUGUGACUUCAGAUUUUCAUUUUAGAAAAGAUACACAGUUAAUAUUUAACACUAUUACUCAGGUAGAAUCAGCGCUCCUUUUUAGUGGGACCCCUGAUUGUUUGAGAUUUUCAAAUGAAUAGUGCACCUUGGUAGAAAGUACAUCUUAUAAAAGGUUCCUGAAGAUAAAUCAUCCCUUGGACCCUUCAUUUCGUCCCCUUAGGGCCCUCAAGAGAUCAUGUGAUCUAAAGUUGGCGUGUAGACAAUGUUAAGUUUGACUCUGGAGUUAAGUGACAUGAAGACAGAACAUUUGCAUAGCUUAUCCUUAGUUUUUAAGUAAAUUAUCUGGCUUGUUUCUGUAGCUUCCCCCUUUCCUUUUAAAAAUGUAAUGUAAGAGCGAUUUGGCCACAGUACAGGAAAGAGAUACAUUAAGGAAGUGCAAAACAUACAAUGAGAACAAUGUCAAACAGAUACAAUGAGAAAAAGAUACAAUAAGAAACAAUAUAGAUACAAUGAGAAAGACACAAAACAGAUACAGGAAGAUAGAAUAAGAAACAGGGAGGCAGCACGUGGCAACAAGCCUUUAAUCCCAGCCUGGUCUAUAGCCAGUUUCAAGACAACCAGGGCUACAUAGUAAAAUCCUGUCAAAAAAAUGAAGUGAAGGAAAGAAAAAAGAGAGAAGGAGAAGGAGGAAGGAAGGAAAGAAACGGAGAGUUAGAAACCAUCACUACAUUCCAUUUAGAAAGUCAAGCAAUAGCUUGGGCACUCUUUCUGCAACAUGUGAAGAUUUUCAGUAAAACAUUUUUAAAUGCAUGCAAAUUAGAGAAGGAAUCUUAAAACUAUUUCUGUUCAAAGAUGACGUGAGCUUUAUAGAGAAAAUCUUAAGGCUGCUAAGACACCAUUAAAACUAGUGUGUGUUCGGCAAGAUUGUAUAGGAUACAAUAUCAAUACUCAAAAACUCAGUUGUGCACAUUUGCAAUAAACAAUACAAAAAUAAAAUUUGGAAAACAAUUUUAUUUAUAUUUACAGCAAAACAAAGAACUUAAGGGAAUUGUGUUGUUUGUUUUUCUUUUCAUUUCUCUUUCUUUUGGGGGGAGUGUUUUUUUCGAGACAGGCUUUCUCUGUGUAGCCUUGGCUGUCCCUGACUUGCUUUGUAGACCAGGCUGACCUCAAACUCAAGAGAUCUGCCUGCCUCUGCCUCCCAGAGGCAGGCUACCAGUAGGCACCACUGCACCAGGUGGGAAUGUUUUUAAAGACAUGCAAAAGUAUUGCUGAGAACAAAUUUUAAUGAGAUAGUGGGAAUUAAACCCAACAUCUUGCAUAGGGCUUGCCAGCCAAGCACCCUAUAAUGAGCUAAAUCCCAGCCCCGAGCAGCCCCGAGUCCCCACCCAAUUUUUGUGCCCAAAUAAAUGAAAAACUGUUCAUGUGCAUGAACUGAAAAACAUAACACUGUUAAGGUGACAGACUGAAGACUAAAGUACAGAUUCAGUGCAGCCCCUUUCAACAACUCAACUAAGCUGUCGCUGAAAACCGAUGAUCGGGUUCCACCAUUCCCAUAGAAGUUCAGAGACCCACAACAGCUACAGACUCCAAGGCUCACACUCCAGGUUUCAAACUUGACCACAAAGCAGUAGGAGCCAGAGUAGCAAAGAUGCAAGACAGACCUGUUAACAAUGGGCUAGAGUUAAGAUCCAAAAUCAGAUCCCUGUCUGCUGCCAACUGAUUUUCAACAAGGGUGGUAAGACCAUUCAGCGGAGAGUCAACUUCCAAGCAAAUGGAAAUGCACAGAGAAAAACCAUUCACAUCCACUAGGGCAGCUACAGUAACUCAAAGACCACUGGGCGUGGUGGCACAUGCUUUGAUCCCAGCACCCGGAAGGCAGAAGCAGGUGGAUCUCUAUGAGUCUGUAGCUAGCCUUGUCUACAUAAUGAGUUCUAAGACAGCCAGGGCUAUGUAGAGAGUCCCUGUGUCAGAAACAAACCAACCCAAACAACAACAAAACCCUCAAAGGCUCAACUAAUUAUGUGUUUGUGAAGACUGAGAAAACACAGAUGAUUCCUAUACUGUUGGUAGGGGUGACAUUGCAGCCAUGGUGAAAGGCAGUUUGACAGUCCUCAGACAGUUAUGCUGUGACCUAGAAAUGCCACUGCUGCGUAGAUAGCCAGGAGACAUGAAAACACAGUCUGCACAGCAGCCUGCACAAUGACUUUCACAGGGUUCAACACGAUAGCCAAACAGUGGAAAUAACCCCGUCAACUUACGAACAGAUAAUAUACGAUAUAUCCAUACAGUGGAGUAUUUAUUUUUCCAUAAAGGGGGUAAGUACCGAUAAGAUGGCGCAUGAAUGGAUCUUUCAAACAUUAUGCUAUGUGAAAGGGGAAUGUCUCAAAAGAGCGCUCAUGGUUUGACUCCGCUUAUACAUCUGAGUCUAGACACAGACGGUUCAUUGUUAGUGGGGAGGAGGGACGGGGAGACAGCUAAGAGGCAUAGGAUUUGCUUCUUAGGUGGUGAUAGGAUAGAUUUCACUGUGAUGCGUAAAGUAAGCACGACCCCGCUGUCCAGCCGCGGGGUAUUCGGUCUUUUAAGUUUUAGCCAUCCUAGGAGGUGAGCACUUCUUUUGGGUGGCUUUAAUUUACACAUCCAUCGUUCUCAGCGAUGUUCAGCAUCUCCGUGCCAGCUACACUUUCUUCAGUGAUGUAUCUCUUGCCUCUCGUUGGUUUUGAUAGGUUGGUAGGUUUUGUUUGUUUUUUUGAGACAAGGUUUCACUAUGUAGACCUGACUGGCCUGAUCAGAUAGACUGGCCUCGAAAUUGUGAAAAUCUUCCCCUCUCUGACUCAGGUGCUGAAAUUGUGAUCAUGUGCUCUCAUGAUUGGCUUUCCCUCAGGUUUUUAAAUUGGGCUUUCCUGUUGGCUCUGAGAAUCAUCAUAGAUGCUUGCUACAAGCCCUCCAGCAGCAUUCUGCCUCCAUGUGUGCCUGAGCACCAGAUUUCAUUACGGAUGGCUAUGAGCCACCAUGUGGUUGCUGGGAAUUGAACUCCGGACCUUUGGGAAGAACAGCCAGUACUCUUAACCUCUAAGCCAUCUGUCCAGCCCUGAAACAAUACCACGUUAAAGACGAUUUAAGUGAAGUCUGAAGGAAAGGUAGCAGCUCUGUCCCUAGGCCUGGCAAGAUGGCUCUGUCCCACAAGCCUGACAACGCAAGCUUAAUCCCUAGGACUGAAUUUGAUCCCUGAAGCACACAUAAUAUGGCAAAAGCAUGCAUGAACAUACGCAUCCAAAUGUCUCUUUCACAC